GACGAACGCUGGCGGCGUGCUUAACACAUGCAAGUCGAACGGAAAGGCCCUUCUUUUGUGGGGUGCUCGAGUGGCGAACGGGUGAUUAACACGUGAGUAACCUGCCCUUGACUUUGGGAUAACUUCAGGAAACUGGGGCUAAUACCGGAUAGGAGCUCCUGCUGCAUGGUGGGGGUUGGAAAGUUUCGGCGGUUGGGGAUGGACUCGCGGCUUAUCAGCUUGUUGGUGGGGUAGUGGCUUACCAAGGCUUUGACGGGUAGCCGGCCUGAGAGGGUGACCGGCCACAUUGGGAAUGAGAUACGGCCCAGACUCCUACGGGAGGCAGCAGUGGGGAAUAUUGCACAAUGGGCGGAAGCCUGAUGCAGCAACGCCGCGUGCGGGAUGACGGCCUUCGGGUUGUAAACCGCUUUCGCCUGUGACGAAGCGUGAGUGACGGUAAUGGGUAAAGAAGCACCGGCUAACUACGUG
rnacentral:rRNA from 1 species